rnacentral:rRNA from 1 species
UACGUAGGGUCCGAGCGUUGUCCGGAAUCACUGGGCGUAAAGCGCACGUAGGCGGAUAUGUCAGUCAGGGGUGAAAUCCCGGGGCUCAGCCUCGGAACUGCCUUUGAUACAGCAUAUCUUGAGUCCGAUAGAGGUGGGUGGAAUUCCUAGUGUAGAGGUGAAAUUCGUAGAUAUUAGGAAGAACACCGGUGGCGAAGGCGGCCCACUGGAUCGGUACUGACGCUGAGGUGCGAAAGCGUGGGGAGCAAACAGG